rnacentral:sRNA from 1 species
AAAAAGAAGAAAGAAAAAC